CGCGGACGUGUGUCGGUCGUCGCUGCCGUCGCUCGCUACGCCUACGCUCUCGUUUUCUGUUUGUCCAUCUUGUGAUUGCAAAAAUUAAAAAAAAAAACACAAGCAGCAAGCAUCAGCCCAAAGGCAAGAAAUUUAACAACAAAUUUUCUUUUUCACGCGUAUGUGUGUGCGUGUGUGUACAUAUAUUUUUACUAACCAAAGCGUGAAAAAAUAGUUUUAAUAAAAAAAAAACGCAAAUUGCUAAAAAAUUUGUUUUCUUUUUUUUUUCGGUGUUGUUUUUGUUAUUGUUAUUAAUCGUGCACAGCUGCUGGAAAUAUACAUAGAAACAUAUAUAUGUCAUAGACGCCACCGACGCGCACCGCAGCCAUGCGCAUCAGAAGCAGCAGCGGCAACAACAUCAGCCAGAACAACAACAGCAACAGCAACAACAACAGCAACAGCAGCAACAAUCGAUGAUUGCCUAAGAGUAAGCUAUAAAGAUAGAACGAGCGAUUGCAGGAAGUGACAAGUUGAAGAAGUUGCGGCUGCGAAAAGCGAAGCGAGAACGAGUUACACACUAAGUUAAAGCUAAAGCUGAAGCUGAACCUAAAGCCCGCCGUAAUAUAACCAAAGACGCCAAAGACCAAUUUAAAAAUAAUAAUAAACACCGACCGACGACUCCAUAAUGCUGAUCAAGGAGUACCGCAUACCUCUGCCCCUCACCGUUGAGGAGUAUCGCAUUGCCCAACUGUACAUGAUAGCGAAAAAGAGCCGCGAGGAGAGUCAUGGCGAAGGCAGCGGCGUUGAGAUUAUUAUCAAUGAACCAUAUAAAGAUGGACCCGGCGGCAAUGGACAGUAUACGAAAAAAAUCUAUCAUGUCGGCAGUCAUUUACCCGGCUGGAUUAAAAGUCUGCUGCCCAAAAGCGCGCUAACCGUGGAGGAGGAAGCCUGGAAUGCUUAUCCGUAUACACGCACUCGUUAUACCUGCCCCUUUGUGGAGAAAUUUUCGCUGGACAUUGAGACGUAUUAUCAUCCUGACAAUGGCUAUCAGGACAAUGUGUUUCAGCUGUCGGGCAGUGAUCUACGCAAUCGCGUUGUAGAUGUGAUUGACAUUGUCAAGGAUCAGCUAUGGGGCGGAGAUUAUGUGAAGGAAGAGGAUCCCAAGCAUUUCGUAUCGGACAAGACGGGUCGUGGUCCGCUUGGCGAUGAUUGGCUUGAGGAGUAUUGGCGCGAAGUGAAGGGCAAGAAGCAGCCAACGCCACGAAAUAUGUCGCUAAUGACCGCCUAUAAGAUAUGCCGCGUCGAGUUUCGCUAUUGGGGCAUGCAAACCAAGCUGGAGAAGUUCAUACACGAUGUCGCGUUGCGCAAGACAAUGCUACGCGCCCAUCGUCAGGCCUGGGCGUGGCAGGACGAAUGGCAUGGCCUAACCAUCGAGGACAUACGCGAGCUUGAGUUGCAAACGCAGUUGGCUUUGGCCAAGAAAAUGGGCAGUGGCGAGGAAUGUAGUGAUGAAAGCACCUCUGAACCGUAUGUGAGCAGCGCCACAGUUGCCCCACAAUUGGGUGAGCGAAAGAAAUCUGCUCCGGCUGUGCCACCAAUUGUCACCCAGCAACCGCCCAGCGCAGAGGCCAGCUCCGAUGAGGAUGAUGACGACGAUGAUGAGGAGGAUGAAAACGAUGGAGUGGGCACUGGCGUUGAGCUGGGUGCCCAAAGCAGCAGCAAUCAACGGUCUCGUUCCCAAAGCAUUCAGUUGGCCAAUAAAGCAAAGUUUGGCUCAAAGGGCGCUCUCCACUCGCCGGUGGGUUCGGCGCACAGUUUUGAUCUGCAGCCCACAAAACCGCAUGCAAAGACAGCGCCACGCCGACAUGUGGCCAACUGGCGCAUGGAACGUCUUGAGGUUGACUCCAAGUCCAACUCAGAUGAGGAGUUCUUCGAUUGUCUGGACACAAAUGAGACAAAUUCCCUGGCCAAAUGGAGUUCACUGGAGCUGCUCGGCGAGGGCGACGACAGUCCGCCGCCGCAUGGUGGCAGCUCGAGCGGCAGCGGUGGAGGCGGCGGUGCCAGUGGACGGCAUAAGCAAGACGAUAGCAUAUUCAAUCAGGACUUUCUAAUGCGUGUCGCAUCGGAGCGCGGCAAUAAGCGACAGCUGCGCUCCUCGGCGAGCAUCGAUCGCAGUCACGACUCAUCGCCCCCAGGAUCGCCGAGCACACCCUCUUGCCCCACCACCAUACUGGUGAUGGUGGUGCAUGCCGGCAGCGUGCUGGAUGCGGCCAGUGAAUUGACCGCCAAGAAAUCGGAUGUGACCACAUUCCGUGGCUCUUUCGAGGCCGUUAUGCGUCAGCAUUAUCCCAACCUGUUGACGCAUAUGACGAUCAAAAUGGUGCCGUGUCCAUCGAUAUGCACCGAUGCCCUUGGCAUCCUCUCCAGCCUCAGUCCGUACUCGUUCGAUGCCUCACCAUCGGCCGCCGAUAUACCCAACAUAGCGGAUGUGCCCAUCGGUGCGAUUCCGUUGCUCGCUGUGGCAUCGCCUGAAUUCCAGGAGACGGUUAAUAAAACGGUGGCCGCUGCCAAUAUUGUGUAUCAUGAGUUCCUCAAAUCGGAGGAGGGUCACGGCUUCUCCGGCCAAAUUGUCAUGCUGGGCGAUUCGAUGGGUUCGCUGCUCGCCUACGAGGCGCUUUGUCGUGGCAAUGGCAGCGCCACUCAGCCGAAUACAUCGUCCAACCAAUCACAGACACCAGCGACGGGUGCGGGUGUCGAUGGAAGUUGCCGCAUGUCACGCAUGGACGAUGAUGAGCGUUUUAUUGAUUCCGAUUUGGAUGCCAAACGUUUGUUGGUCGCCCCAUCGCCGCGACGUCGUCGCUCCAGUUCGUCGAGUGAUUCGCGUGCCACGAAAUUGGAUUUCGAAGUCAGUGAUUUCUUUAUGUUUGGCUCACCGUUGUCGGUGGUGUUGGCCGCACGUAAAUUGCACGAUGCCAAGGCGGCGCUGGCACGUCCCAAUUGCCAUCAGGUGUACAAUCUGUUCCAUCCAACCGAUCCAAUUGCCUCGCGUCUCGAGCCGUUGCUCAGUGCUCGCUUCUCCAUAUUGUCGCCGGUGAAUGUGCCGCGCUAUGCCAAAUAUCCGUUGGGCAAUGGACAGCCCCUGCAUUUAUUGGAGGUCAUACAAUCGCAUCCGCAGCAUUUCAAUGAUGGCAAUAAUCUGUUGGCUGGCAGACGUCUAUCCGAUGCCUCCAUGCAGAGUACCAUCUCUGGUCUCAUCGAGAAUGUCUCGCUCAGCACGAUACACUCAUUACAAAACAAAUGGUGGGGCACCAAGCGCUUGGACUAUGCGCUCUACUGUCCGGAGGGUUUGAGCAACUUCCCUGCACACGCAUUGCCGCAUUUGUUCCAUGCCAGCUACUGGGAGAGUCCCGAUGUGAUUGCCUUUAUAUUGCGACAAAUUGGCAAAUUCGAGGGCAUACCGUUUGUGGGCUCCAACGAUGACAAGGACAACGCCUCGUUUCAUCCGGGGCAACCGCGCGAAAAGUGGAUCAAGAAGCGCACGUCGGUUAAGCUGAAGAAUGUGGCAGCGAAUCAUCGGGCCAACGAUGUGAUUGUGCAGGAGGGACGUGAACAGCGUUUGAAUGCGCGUUUCAUGUACGGCCCGUUGGAUAUGAUAACGUUGCAUGGGGAGCGGGUGGAUGUGCAUAUUAUGAAGGAUCCGCCGGCGGGUGAAUGGACAUUCCUAACCACCGAAAUGACCGACAAGAAUGGACGCAUCUCGUACAGUAUACCCGAUCAAUUGUCACUUGGUUAUGGCAUCUAUCCGGUCAAGAUGGUGGUGCGUGGCGAUCACACCUCUGUCGAUUGUUAUAUGGCCGUGGUGCCGCCAAUGACGGAAUGUGUUGUAUUCAGCAUCGAUGGUUCCUUCACCGCAUCCAUGUCGGUGACCGGACGUGAUCCGAAAGUCCGUGCCGGUGCCGUCGACGUCUGUCGGCAUUGGCAAGAGUUGGGCUAUUUGCUCAUCUAUAUCACGGGUCGACCCGAUAUGCAGCAACAGCGUGUCGUCUCGUGGCUGAGUCAGCAUAACUUUCCACACGGUCUUAUCUCGUUCGCCGAUGGUUUAUCCACCGAUCCGUUGGGUCACAAGACCGCCUAUCUCAAUAAUCUCGUGCAAAAUCAUGGAAUCUCAAUUACCGCCGCCUAUGGCAGUAGCAAGGAUAUUAGUGUGUACACCAAUGUGGGCAUGCGACACGAACAAAUCUUUAUUGUUGGCAAGGUCAGCAAGAAAUUGCAAUCGAAUGCAACAGUGCUGACCGAGGGCUAUGCCGCUCAUUUGGCCGGUCUCCAGGCAGUUGGUGGCUCUCGGCCGGCAAAGGGCAAUGCACGCAUGGUCAUACCUCGAGGUUGCUUCAAUCUGCCCGGACAAUCCGCGAAUCCGAGACGCAGAAGGCUGCAUGAACAAGCAACGAAUGAAGUUUAAAACGUUUACCAACACUGUAGUUGUUAUGCAAGAGCGUAAAUUCCAUUAGACAUCAACAACAACAACAACUACUACUACUACUAUAAAUAUACAACGAACACGACAAAAACAAAAACAAAACAAAAAAAGAGAGAGAGAGAUCGCAAAUUGGUGUUUUUAGUGUUCAAAAGUUAUUGAUAUUCAUUUCAGUUGGAUUAAGUUGAAUUGAUUUUGCUGGUGUUAUGUUUAAGUGCAAUUUUAGCUGAGCAUUUAUCGAUAUCAGCAAGUUAUCGAGAUUUGCUUUUUUACUUUCAGUUUGAUUUGUUCGUUAUGUUUAGUUUUAUGCAAUUUAGCUGAGCAUUUUCUUGAUUCGGUGUUGUGCAAAAUAAAAAAAACAAAAACAAAAAAAACCAAAAAAAAAAAAAAAAACGGCAUUUGAUUGGAGCAAAAUGCGCCAUCAACUGACAUCUCAACCUUAACUCUGUCUCUUUUUUCAACCAAAAACAAACGAAAAAUUUUAUUCUCUUAAAAAAAAAAACAUUAAAACAUUGAAAAAUCUACAAAACAACAAAUCAAAAAACACAAAACACACUCACACAUUAAUACCACCAUCAACUUGACAUCGCAGCAAUGAGACGGGCCUUUCAUCGCCAAUACGAAGUGGAUACCUGAAGCGCAAAACCUACUUAAGCCAUCACUAGAAUCCCGAUUUGGAGAGUGGCAAUGAUUUGUUUAGUUAAAGAAAUCGAGCAACCAUCGAGAAACUCCAUAAAUAUCUCAAAUAGUACACACAUAGAUCCACCAUCUAACAAGUGCUUCGAUCCUGUGUAGCUGAGACAUGCAACAAUACCAACAAUAAAUCAUCUAAUAAUAAUCUUAAUCAGUUCGUGGAUCCUCGAUCAGCAUUAGUUGCAGUUUAACACCACCAACCAACCAAACAACCAACCAACCAACAGCAGCAAAAGCAACAAAACAACCGAACACAUCUCAGCAUCGAUGCUCCCCAUAAACUACAUCUGUGUAUAUACAUAAAAAAUAUAUAUAUAUUAUGCGCGAUAUAUAGCAAAAUUAUAUGGUGUAUAUAAAAAUAAACAAAUGCAAAGAAACAAAACAAAAAAAAAAACUUUAAUUCAAUUGUACAACAUAUUAAUAAAGUCAAAUGUGUCACGCGGUACCUGGAAAGAAAGACUGUUUCCUCCUGUUGUUUGAUGGUUUUCCAAACCACUUAAAGAAAAAAAUACAAAUCACAAAAAAAAAAACACUAAAAUCUAAAAAAAAAAACUUAAAUGGAAAAUGAAUUCAUAAUUUAAAGGCAAACAAAAAAUUAAAAGCACAAACAAAUAAUGUGCUAUAUAUUGUAUAACAAAAUCAUAAAAAAAAGAAA